UACGGGGGGGGCAAGCGUUGUUCGGAAUUACUGGGCGUAAAGGGCUCGUAGGUGGCCAACUAAGUCAGACGUGAAAUCCCUCAGCUUAACUGGGGAACUGCGUCUGAUACUGGAUGGCUUGAGUUUGGGAGAGGGAUGCGGAAUUCCAGGUGUAGCGGUGAAAUGCGUAGAUAUCUUGAGGAACACCGGUGGCGAAGGCGGCAUCCUGGACCAACACUGACACUGAGGAGCGAAAGCCAGGGGAGCAAACGGG
rnacentral:rRNA from 1 species